UCUUUUUUUUACUGUCCCCAUUUCGUCUUUGGUGUGGGAUCCUCUUUUAGUUCUUUCCAAGUUGUCGGUUUCUUAAGUGGGUUCCUUUUCGAUUACUUUCUCGGGCGACCAGUUCUGUGACUACUUGCCUCACUAGAAGUUCACCCUUCACAACAUCUAGGACAAGAUGGGUCACGAUUUAAACUUGGACUUGGAGGAUGACAAGGUAACAAUUGACCUCUGUCACGUACCGACAUACGCCGAGCACCAGAACUGGAAAGAAGACCGUGAGACGGACUCUUAAACACGUGGCCUCCGCAACAUUGAAGUAUAUAAUAACUCGUUCAAGGGUUUCUUGUUAGUGGUCUGUGAAAUACAGUUCCCAGAAAAUUCAAAGUUGUACUAUUACCACCUUGACUAAGAUAAUCCACGAGUAAGUUUAAACGCUUCAGACAUUAAGUGCGUUACCUUAAUAUGAGACGUCGUUAAGCACAGAGUUCAGGUCCAGAACCUUUCUAUAUAAAGUGAUGUAUAACACAAGGAAACCGAACGAUAUAGCACCACAUACUUGGCAACAAUGUAAUACUACUAGAAGUAGUAUUGUUUUUUCGUCUUCUAAGUUAGACAUUAAGGUUAUUUUAAUAUUUUUUCUCCACCGAUCGAUUGUAUUCCUUAUAAAUACUCCCGGAGCUAAAUGAAGUGAGUAACGCGUAUUCAGUAGGAAACUGUUUAUUCCACAAAUCAAUGUACACCACGUUCUGUCUCCUGCCUAGAUAACCUAGACAUUUCAAUUAUCCACGUUUACCUUCGUACGUUUGUUACUGGUUUGUGUUAUUAUGUCACUCAUCUCUCGCUCUACUUGCACGCCUACAAAAUGUAAAGGAACUCUUUGAAGCAUAACGCCUCACGGGACUAAUAGGCAGUAAGUCUACCGAACAACUUUUGUCACAAAGACGAUUUCGCUAAGACCCCGUAGGUGACGAAUGAUUUAGUCUGCUCCGGUAUCAACUACAUAUAAUGACCAAUGUGCUCAGGCACAAUUCGGAUCUACCUUUAGUUGCGUCAUACAACGUCUUACUAGACUUACGGUUUAAGGGAUGAAAUCGUUUAUGAACCUCUUUGUGUCACUUCAGUUCAUGACGAAAACACCCUCACUUUCAACGAUUCAUGAUACUACUAGAGAACCUAGAUGACGCGAAACAGUCCUUAAUAUAACUUGUGUUCGCACUGCUUCGCAAUAUGUAAAUAAGUGCACACUUGGUAUUCUUGUAACAGCAGCUUAAUAGUUUCCGUAAGGGCUGUAAGAACCGGACCCAAAUGUGGAUAUAAUUUGAAAAAACUUUUUCUUAAACAAUGACUUCUUUGUAAAGGAGAGACACUUCGACCACCCCAAUACAUUACUCCCGAAGUUACCGACCACCGAGUCGAGUAAGUUCGCAAAUCACAAGUCAAAUUAACCCCCAAACGAACCUUCAAAUUUCUUGUAAGUCAACCGUCGAAGAACCAAGUUUGACAGGGAUUAAACCAGAUGUACCUUGAUUCUCACACCAUUCUUGAUGUUUCACCUAACUGAGACGUCAUCUUUUUUACUUCGAGAUAAGUCAGACUCGCUCCAGAAAAGCCCAAGGUUAAAACUACUCUGUAUCUCUACCGAGGAGCCUCUGUCUUAGGUACAAUACCUGACAUGUUGACACCUAUAUGAUCACAUAACCAGUGUACCUUAAUAAUCUUAGUUCCGGUCUCAGUCCCUGGGAUUCCUUUAGGGAUCUUGACGUUAACUCCUUUAUCACCUCCCACCGGGAAAUGAACUACCGUACAACUAGUCGUUGUCCCUAUUACAGAGAUUUCCUCCCUUAUACUGUGGUUUUUCUGGUUUUCCACCGCCGAGUCUAUUACGUAGACAAAGAUUACCGUGAACAUGAUACUUACAACUACCUCAAUAGAGACCGUUCAAGUGUGUGCCGUUCAAAAUGAUAAUAGUUACCUUCUUCAAGACUAUACAGGUGGUGACUCCGGUCUGGUCAUCCGGUAUACCCAACGAAGAACUAAGAUUGGUGCUUCUUAAAAUAAAACAAUCCUUCCCAAGUAAAAGAGAGAAGGCCACAAACCUUCUAGACCUCGUUGAAUAAAUACCAAGAAGUCUACUUACCCCCUUUAGAGCCACCACAACCUUACUUGAAUGACCUGCUGUAUGGACUGAGACCUUGGGAGUAACUUCAGGAAUCCACGUACACGGUACAUUUGGUAGAUGACCCCACUAGAAGACGACGUUAUAUAAUGCUCAGGGAGUGGUCAAGACAAUAUAGUAGACUAAUUUAACAAUGAGUCUAUAAUUUCUUUGACCGAUUGCACAAACGAGUGGGGUAAGUGUUUGUACCUCCGUUCACGGACAGCACGGGUUCAAAUCCGUUCUCACCGACGUGUACACCCCAGACAACUUCAUAUACACCUUGGAUGUCAAUGAGGGAGGCAGGUCCCGAGUUUAAAGUCAUACCCGGGUGGUUCAUGAUCAACUCUAAAGUCUUCCUUCCGAAGUACGUCCAAACACCGCAAGUCAACUCGAGUCGUUGUAGAGCGACGCGCUCUUAGUACCAGCGGUAAACCACCUAGAAUACUCAUACGACCUGUAUCGACAACGUAGAGACCCUCAGUUUCUGGCAAUACAUCUCAUGUUACGACAGUCCACGGUGGAAGAUGAUCUUUACAUCGAGUAGAAGUCUUCUGUUUAUAAGAACACAACUAUCCAGUUGAAGAAUAGACGUGCACGUUUGAGAAUCCUUAAAGGGUUAACUUUUUGAAAUACCUCUCCACCAGGACAACACUGAACUAAGACAAGAAGAAAACCUAGGAGAUCCUAAUAAAUCAACGAGUGACUUUUCCUGUGACAGUUGAUAGUUUAUGGACAUGUUUCGUCCUCCCUUUCAAGAAGAUCAAUGGUCAGGGGGUCAGACAAUUAGGUCACAAGUUCAGUUAGUUUAGAAAACGUCCAAUAAACUUUAAGCAUAAGAUUAUGCGAAUACGGUUUGAAAUAUGACUAUUCAACAAUCUAUACCAACGUGAGAUCCUGGGUUUUUGUCAACAAGUCAAACGUUGUCUUACUAAGAUUGCAGUCAUUCGGUCCCGUAGACUGUUUCUAAUGUACAAACUUGGGUUCGGACAUUUAUAAAAAAAUAAACAUUUGGUUUUCAUAGACAUGAUAACCUCUUUGGUUCAUUAUUACGAUAAUCGUGGGUACGUGAUUCACAGACCUGUUGACGUAAAGAGGGAACAUAGAAAAGAGUAUGACAAAUACUGUGAUGUCACCGAAUUAAACCAGUACAUAAGACUUAGUGUAUAAAAUUUACGUCGAUUGAAUAGGUCUUGUCGAAGAAAACAAGCAAGAACUAUUGACUUUUAUUAGACAGUAUUUACGACUAUCAGUCUGAUAUACAGUCGCGAAGAAGUUCAUUUCCAGUAGGGCCACCUACCACAGGGAACAAAUUGUAGUACAUUCUUCCUUCUUACCCACGUCUUACUAUAAUAGAACAAACUUUUAGAAAACUUGAAGUCCCCUCUUUUUACGUUUGACGUUAUUAAAAAGAGUCUUCGAUCGCAGUCCACGUCGUUAGAAACAGUUACUAAGAAAGAGUAACAGAACGUCGUUAGAAACAGUUACUAAGAAAGAGUAACAGAGUAUUCUAAGUGCGUAGUUGCCAACCGUAGUGAGCAAAGACGAUACGUAGAGAACGACCAAAGGUAAAACUCCUCCUCGAAUACGUUAGCGAUUUCUAGUUACUGUGGUGUUCCGCGGUAUGUAUCGUUAUUAACCUCCGUCAUUGAAGAACUCUUUCCGUGGACGUGGCGUAGACAAUCGGAAGUUGCGCUACCCAACAAAGAACAACCUUUCAAUAGUAAAGUUUAUUACUUACCGGAACCUUAAGGUCACAGGAGGACAAACGAUCUUUUUUUACGUUGGUUCCUUCACAAUGUUGAAUAAUUUUAUCGGGUAUUAUCCUUGUAAGGAUAAAUAAUAGGUUGUCUGGACACCACAAACUUGUCGUUGUUAUUACUUGUUGAGCUUUAUAAACUGAGUCGACUUGAUAACAGACCAAAUGGUACUUCUCCCCCUUACGGCCGUCGACCUUAAGACCGACCUUUUCCUCGUUUACAACCUUUGGAUAAGACGUGUUGAGGUUUUCAGGACUUUGAGGUGCUUUGUAGAAAAACCUAAAUUAUUCUUAAAAACUCGCUUUCUUUAUGUGGUCCCCCGGGUGUGGGACAGGUCCUCUCUCCUACCGCGGGGGGGAUAUCCCGUGCGGGGGAUAGAGGACCCGGGGGACCACCCGG
rnacentral:rRNA from 1 species